ACGAAAAAUCGGUCCAUUUGGGUAAGUCUAGUCCACUGCCUAGUAAACCCUCGAAUCAGCCUCCCAAGUCGAGUACCCAUUCGCAAUGGCCGCCGCCGCCGCCGCCGCCUCUAGGUCGGUCCUUCGCUCGCUUUCGCUCCGGACCCCUGCAUCCGGCGUCAUCGCUGUGGCUACAACCGCUUCACGCCCUACGCUUAGGCAUGCCCCCAACUUGAGGCCCGCCGACGCUGCUCGUUACCUCAGGUCCGCUGUCGUGGCGAGCUUCUGCUUGGAAUCGUUGAUGCCGAUGCACAGCGCAACGGCUUCGGCGCUUAUGACAUCGAUGCUCAGUGUUUCUCGCAAGAGAUAUGGAGGGUUCUGUGAAGCUGCUUGUGAUGACGUGUGAUAAUCGUUAGGUGGAAUCUUGCAAAAUUUUCUGUUCUCCACAAUAAACAGUUGGCAAUGACGAUGCAUGAGCGUCUCAGCCGGAUUCUGCAAUUCAGAGCUCAGGAAAUAUUUGGGGAAUCAAUUUUUUUUUUCCAUUGCUAGAAAUGAAAGUUUAACCUCCAUAAACCCUCUAUGCCUGAUCAUCCUGAAAGGUCAUUUGAUAUUCUUUUGCUACGGUUGACUUUGUUUUCUCAUGCGUUUAUUUAGCGUUGGAAGUAUGUUGGUACUGUUUCUUUUUUAA